rnacentral:rRNA from 1 species
CCUACGGGAGGCAGCAGUGGGGAAUUUUGGACAAUGGGCGCAAGCCUGAUCCAGCUAUUCCGCGUGUGGGAUGACGGCCCUCGGGUUGUAAACCACUUUUGUAGAGAACGAAAAGACACCUUCGCAUAAACGGUGUUGCUGACGGUACUCUAAGAAUACGCACCGGCUAACUACGUGCCAGCAGCCGCGUUAAUACGUAGGGUGCGAGAGGCAAUCGGAAUUUCUGGGCGUCAAGGGUGCGCAGGCGGUUGAGUAAGACAGAUGUGAAAUCCCCGAGCUUAACUCGGGAAGGACAUAUGUGACUGCUCGACUAGAGGGUGUCAGAGGGAGGGGGAAUUCCACGUGUAGCAGUGAAAUGCGUAGAUAUGUGGAAGAACACCGAUGGCGAAGGCAGCCUCCUGGGACAUAACUGACGCUCAGGCACGAAAGCGUGGGGAGCAAACAGGAUUAGAUACCCGUGUAGUC